rnacentral:lncRNA from 1 species
GGGGGGUUGGGGGUGUGUGGGCUUUCACCUACCUAUGUUUUAUGGAAAGAUUCAUGGCUUUCGUUAAUGUCUAAGAAAGAUUCGUGACUAAAAUACCGUGAAUAAUAACCAAAUCCCUUUGGAAAUGUUUCUCUACCCAUGAGAGAAAGCCAGAAGUUCUGAGCACAACCUCUCCCUGCUUCCUACAGCUCUGAAGUAUUAUGUACCUGCCUAUCAGACUGACAAAAUUUUUAAAGUCUGAUGUUAACAAUCAUUGGUGAGGAUGUGAAGAAACAAGACCUCAUGGUGAUGAGAAGAUAAAGAAAUACAACUACUUUAGAAAGCCAUUUGGUGAUGCAGAUCCAAAUGCCUUAUCUGUAAUUCAGAAACCCAGAAAGCUCUGAAAUCUGAAAGUUCUUUCUUAACUUAUUUGGUGGC